rnacentral:rRNA from 1 species
GAUAUGUGAAUACAUAGCAUAUCAGAAGGCACACCCGGAGAACUGAAACAUCUUAGUACCCGGAGGAAGAGAAAGAAAAUUCGAUUCCCUUAGUAGCGGCGAGCGAAACGGGAAGAGCCCAAACCAACAAGCUUGCUUGUUGGGGUUGUAGGACACUCUAUACGGAGUUACAAAGGACGACAUUAGACGAAUCAUCUGGAAAGAUGAAUCAAAGAAGGUAAUAAUCCUGUAGUCGAAAAUGUUGUCUCUCUUGAGUGGAUCCUGAGUACGACGGAGCACGUGAAAUUCCGUCGGAAUCUGGGAGGACCAUCUCCUAAGGCUAAAUACUCUCUAGUGACCGAUAGUGAACCAGUACCGUGAGGGAAAGGUGAAAAGCACCCCGGAAGGGGAGUGAAAUAGAACCUGAAACCGUGUGCUUACAAGUAGUCAGAGCCCGUUAAUGGGUGAUGGCGUGCCUUUUGUAGAAUGAACCGGCGAGUUACGAUUUGAUGCAAGGUUAAGCAGUAAAUGUGGAGCCGUAGCGAAAGCGAGUCUGAAUAGGGCGUUUAGUAUUUGGUCGUAGACCCGAAACCAGGUGAUCUACCCUUGGUCAGGUUGAAGUUCAGGUAACACUGAAUGGAGGACCGAACCGACUUACGUUGAAAAGUGAGCGGAUGAACUGAGGGUAGCGGAGAAAUUCCAAUCGAACCUGGAGAUAGCUGGUUCUCUCCGAAAUAGCUUUAGGGCUAGCCUCAAGUGAUGAUUAUUGGAGGUAGAGCACUGUUUGGACGAGGGGCCCCUCUCGGGUUACCGAAUUCAGACAAACUCCGAAUGCCAAUUAAUUUAACUUGGGAGUCAGAACAUGGGUGAUAAGGUCCGUGUUCGAAAGGGAAACAGCCCAGACCACCAGCUAAGGUCCCAAAAUAUAUGUUAAGUGGAAAAGGAUGUGGCGUUGCCCAGACAACUAGGAUGUUGGCUUAGAAGCAGCCAUCAUUUAAAGAGUGCGUAAUAGCUCACUAGUCGAGUGACACUGCGCCGAAAAUGUACCGGGGCUAAACAUAUUACCGAAGCUGUGGAUUGUCCUUUGGACAAUGGUAGGAGAGCGUUCUAAGGGCGUUGAAGCAUGAUCGUAAGGACAUGUGGAGCGCUUAGAAGUGAGAAUGCCGGUGUGAGUAGCGAAAGACGGGUGAGAAUCCCGUCCACCGAUUGACUAAGGUUUCCAGAGGAAGGCUCGUCCGCUCUGGGUUAGUCGGGUCCUAAGCUGAGGCCGACAGGCGUAGGCGAUGGAUAACAGGUUGAUAUUCCUGUACCACCUAUAAUCGUUUUAAUCGAUGGGGGGACGCAGUAGGAUAGGCGAAGCGUGCGAUUGGAUUGCACGUCUAAGCAGUAAGGCUGAGUAUUAGGCAAAUCCGGUACUCGUUAAGGCUGAGCUGUGAUGGGGAGAAGACAUUGUGUCUUCGAGUCGUUGAUUUCACACUGCCGAGAAAAGCCUCUAGAUAGAAAAUAGGUGCCCGUACCGCAAACCGACACAGGUAGUCAAGAUGAGAAUUCUAAGGUGAGCGAGCGAACUCUCGUUAAGGAACUCGGCAAAAUGACCCCGUAACUUCGGGAGAAGGGGUGCUCUUUAGGGUUAACGCCCAGAAGAGCCGCAGUGAAUAGGCCCAAGCGACUGUUUAUCAAAAACACAGGUCUCUGCUAAACCGUAAGGUGAUGUAUAGGGGCUGACGCCUGCCCGGUGCUGGAAGGUUAAGAGGAGUGGUUAGCUUCUGCGAAGCUACGAAUCGAAGCCCCAGUAAACGGCGGCCGUAACUAUAACGGUCCUAAGGUAGCGAAAUUCCUUGUCGGGUAAGUUCCGACCCGCACGAAAGGCGUAACGAUUUGGGCACUGUCUCAACGAGAGACUCGGUGAAAUCAUAGUACCUGUGAAGAUGCAGGUUACCCGCGACAGGACGGAAAGACCCCGUGGAGCUUUACUGUAGCCUGAUAUUGAAAUUCGGCACAGCUUGUACAGGAUAGGUA